rnacentral:rRNA from 1 species
AUUGAACGCUGGCGGCAGGCCUAACACAUGCAAGUCGAGCGGAUGAAGGGAGCUUGCUCCUGGAUUCAGCGGCGGACGGGUGAGUAAUGCAUAGGAAUAUGCCUGGCCGUGGGGGAUAACGUCCGGACACGGGCGCUAAUACCGCAUACGUCCAGAGGGUGAAAGGGGGGGAUCUUCGGACAUCACGCGAUCUGAUGAGCCUAGGUCGGAUUAGCUAGUUGGUAGGGUAAAGGCCUACCAAGGCGACGAUCCGUAACUGGGCUGAGAGGAUGAUCGGUCACACUGGAACUGAGACACGGUCCAGACUCCUACGGGAGGCAGCAGUGGGGAAUAUUGGGCAAUGGGCGAAAGCCUGAUCCAGCCAUGCCGCGUGUGUGAAGAAGGUCUUCGGAUUGUAAAGCACUUUUAGUUGGGAGGAAGGGCAGUAAGUUAAUACCUUGCUGCUUUGACGGUACCAACAGAAUAAGCACCGGCUAACUUCGUG